rnacentral:rRNA from 1 species
CAAUAGCGUAUAUUAAAGUUGUUGCAGUUAAAAAGCUCGUAGUUGGAUUUCUGUGAGAGUGCCGGUGUCGGCUGAUGCUUGUACGCAGGCGCUCUUACAUCCUUCUGUUAACUGUUCUUGGCAUUUUAUUGCUGGUUCAGGGCUCAGAUAUUUUACCUUGAGAAAAUUAGAGUGUUUCAGGCAGGCUUAUGCCGGAAUACAUUAGCAUGGAAUAAUGGAACAGGACCUGUGCGUCUCCCGGGGCGCCGGUCUCCGUUGUUGGUUUCGGGGACUAAUGUAAUGAUUAAUAGGGAUAGUUGGGGGCAUUAGUAUUUAAUAGUCAGAGGUGAAAUUCUCGGAUUUGUUAAAGACUAACUUAUGCGAAAGCAUUUGCCAAGGAUGUUUUCAUUA